GUUAGUGAUUAACCCACUGGGACAAAUUAUUGAUUUUCUUUUUAGUAGAUUCCCUCUUCUUUCCUUAGGCAUUAAUUGUUGCUUAGAUUCAGGAAUAUCUCCUGGAUAAUCCUAUGUAUGUUCACAUGAAUAUACAGUCUUAUGAAAGAUUGGGAGCUCGUUCCCGUCAUAUUUUGUAUUUACCAUGGAGUCAUAGAACUUAUAAGUUCAUCCUUUAUUUUUACUAUUUAGUUUCGAUAGGCUCAUAUUACCGGAUGAGGGUAGAUCUAGAGCUAAUUUAGUUAGUUAUUUAGUAUUAGUGAGAAUUGGUCCAUAAAUCUUCCUGAUCGUUCUUCUUUGGAUAUGCUCCUAUAAAUCUGGUGUCCAUUGCUAGUCCGAUUUUGGAUUAAGUGUCCGAUUCUUCACUUAUUUUGUUUAUUUGGUUGUAUAGGUUCGUAUUACCGGAUGUGGGUGUACGUAGACCUAAUUUAUUUAUAUGAUUUAGUAUGGAUGUGAAUUGGUCCAUAAAUCUUCCUGGUCGUUCUUCAUUGGAUAUGCUUUUGUGAAUCUGUUGUCCAUUGAUAGUCUGACUUUGGAUUGAGUGUCUGAUUCCACAUUUAUUUUGGUUAAUGUGUUUGCAUUCCUUUGGUAUGUUCACUAUUUAUAUUAGUUGGUAUUGGUGAAAAUUAUUCUAUAAAUAUUCCUAGUUGUUCUUCUCUGGAUAUGCUAUUACGAAUCUGGUGUCCAUUGCUAGUCCAAUUUAGGAUUGAGUGUUUGAUUCUUCACUUAUUAUAGUUAUUGAUUUCAUUGGUGACUUUAGUAUAUGUACUUGCGUUAUGGUAUGAAUUGGCUCUCACCUUUGCCUGGUUGUUCGUCCUUGGAUAUACUCCUUAUAAAUCUGAUGUCCAUGGAUAGUUCAACUUUGGAUUUACUGCCAAUUCGACACUUAUUUGUCAUUAUAAAUUAUGUCUCAAAUUUAGCACUUUUAAUAGGACUUCGGGUCAUAUUCUGCAAUUUCCGUUAUUUGCUGCAGUGACCAUCCUACUUUCCCUUGAUUAUUAGUGGUGAUUAUUUGUAAUCUUGCGAAUCAACGGGGAAUGAUACACUAAGCACUACUACUCUAGUUUAAUAUUUUGAAAAAAAAAAAAAAAAAAAAUUUUUUUUAAAUAAAAUUUUUUCUGGUGGUUGAAAGGGAAUGUGACGUUCCGCCCCUUAUAGAAUCGAUUAUUGAUGGGAAGAUAUUAUUUAACUAUCCAAAAUAUUAUUUAAUUAUUUUCAGAAUUAUUUUCUUUCAAUGUUUAUUCAAAUAGAACUUAAACCCAUCUCAGAAUUUUUAAAUGCUUGAUGACGUCACAUUUAAAACGUGGCAACAUUGGUUUCCCCACUUUGACAGCCAAUGCUUAGUAGAGGGGUACGAAGGAUUCAGCUGUGAACGUGAGCCUUGGAUUGCCAUUGUUUCUCGAGUGUUCGGUCUGAAUCGUAGUGUGCGGGGUCAUUAGACUCAAUUAUUCACCUCUAAUUCUCAGUUCCAAAUUGAUUAAAUAUUACAAUAAAAGUAUAGUGAAGUUAUCCAGCAGCAGUGGAUUUGAAGAAUUUUAGAGCAUACUAUAUCCAAUGAGUUCUACCCCGCACCUACCAUGAAAUCUUAAAGCCACCCUACAACAACACCAAGGCCAGACCACACAGAGAGAAACAAUCAAUAGGCGACCAGCCUGGAUUAUUUCCACAUUUUCUUUUUUUGAGUACCUCCAGCUGCUUUCCAACAGUUUUGAGUACCUUCAGCUGCUUUCUACCAGUCUUCCUCUCCUGUACCUCCAGCAGGACAGCUGCUAGCGAGAGUUAGCACCCUUGGGUGCUCAUUACAUCAACUUCAAGAUUAGGAAAGAGUGGUUUGUUUGGGAACAUUUACUGUGCUCUUAUUAAAGACAGACUGGUUUUGUGAUAUUUAGUACAUUUUUUUUUAUAGUUCAAUUGCACACACAUUUUUCCUGCUUUAUAUUUUUUAUAGGUUUUUUUUUUCUUUACAACAUAAUAUUUAAUUGAUAGCGUUCCCCAACACUCUGCAAUCUAUAAAGGUAUAAAUUUCUGAGCUCAGAUAUUUUCCCUGAUAAUAGUAGUCGGUACUCUUAUCUUGAUUAUUUUUAGGCUGUGUUCCACUUUUGUAUAAUUAUUUAAACUCAUUCCAUUAUUUUAGUAUAUGUUUAAUUAAAUUUUUAAAAA